GCGAGAGUGGCGGAAUUGGCAGACGCGCCGGAUUUAGGUUCCGGUGGGGAAACUCUUGGGGGUUCGAGUCCCCCCUCUCGCACCA
rnacentral:tRNA from 1 species